GCUGGAUGUUCAUUUCCUCAUCUCAAAAAACACUAUCACCUGAUGGCCUGGGAUUGCCCUUGGAAAAAUAUCUUGAACCAUCAUCGUGCCACCCACACCAGCAGCAGGAAGUCUAUUCAGCCAUCCUUUGAGUUCCUUUGCAGAGAUAAUACUCAGAUUUUUGGUAUCUGUGUUGUCAGCACAGUUGAUCACCGCUCCUCCCGGAAGACCCAAGGAAAUCUGGAAUUUUGCACCGGAGGAUUCACCACAUCCUCACUUCGACAUCUUGAAUAUCACAAAAGGGCAAAAAGCUGUGAUCAUUUCUACCAGAGACUGGGGAUUGAACCUGAGACCCUUGUAUGUGGGAAGUCGGCACUUAUCCACUGAGCCACAUCAGCUUCCCUGACUUGAUUUUUUUCAUUUGUUUUGCUUGUGUAGUUUUUUUUCAGGAGGCAUUGGGAACUGAACCCUGGACCUCCCAUGUGAGACACAGGUGCUCAACCACUUGAAUCAAAUGCACUCCCUAUGAUUACUUUUUUUUUUUAAGAUUUGUUUUAUUUAUUUCUCUCCCCACCCAGUCUUCUCUCUGUGUCCAUUUGCUGUGUGUUCUUCUGUGUCCGCUUGCGUUCUCAGCAUCAUUGGGAAUCUGUUGCGUCAUCUUGCUGUGUCAGCUCUCCAUGUGUGUGGUGCCACUCCUGGGGAGGUUGGGCUUUUUUCACAGCCUUUUUUCACCCCUGCAGGGUGCACUCCUUGCAUGUGGGGCUCCCCUAUGCAGGGGCACCCUUGCGUGGCAUGGCACUCCUUGCACAUGGCAGCACUGCACAUGGGCCAGCUCACCACAUGGGCCAGGGGCCCUGGGUUUGAACCCUGGACCUCUUAUAUGAUAGGCGGACGCUCUAUCAGUUGAGCUAUGUCUGCUUCCCUUUGAUUACUUAUAAAAGACAUUUCGUGGUAAAUAAACAAACAAGGAAAAUGAUAGGAGAUGGUGUGAGAAGAAGUAGGGACAAGAAAGAAGGUUUUGUAAGGCAGGGGAAACUUGGGACAAUGGAGGCAGUAGUGUCUCCAUGUGUCAGCAAGCCCCUUAGAAACCC
rnacentral:lncRNA from 1 species